rnacentral:rRNA from 1 species
CCUACGGGAGGCAGCAGUGGGGAAUAUUGGACAAUGGGGGCAACCCUGAUCCAGCCAUGCCGCGUGUGUGAAGAAGGCCCUCGGGUUGUAAAGCACUUUCAGUGAGGAAGAACGCCUGGUGGUUAAUACCCAUCAGGAAAGACAUCACUCACACAAGAAGCACCGGCUAACUCCGUGCCAGCAGCCGCGGUAAUACGGAGGGUGCGAGCGUUAAUCGGAAUUACUGGGCGUAAAGCGCGCGUAGGUGGCUUGAUAAGCCGGUUGUGAAAGCCCCGGGCUCAACCUGGGAACGGCCUCCGGAACUGUGCAGCUAGGGUGCAGGAGAGGAAGGUGGAAUUCCCGGUGUAGCGGUGAAAUGCGUAGAGAUCGGGAGGAAUACCAGUGGCGAAGGCGGCCUUCUGGACUGACACUGACACUGAGGUGCGAAAGCGUGGGUAGCAAACAGGAUUAGAUACCCCGGUAGUC